AAGAUUUUAAGUUAAAAAAACUAAUAACCUUCAAAGUUUUAAAUAAAAUUUUAUUUUUAAAUCUUA
rnacentral:tRNA from 2 species